GACAUGUCCGGAAUCCUGCAGAGAUGCGGGAGUGCCCGAAAGGGAAUCGGAACACAGGUGCUGUAUGGCUGUCGUCAGCUCGUGUCGUGAGAUGUUGGGUUAAGUCCCGCAACGAGCGCAACCCUUAUCAUUAGUUGCUACGCAAGGGCACUCUAAUGAGACUGCCGGUGACAAACCGGAGGAAGGUGGGGGAUGACGUCAAGUCCUCAUGGCCCUUAUGGGUAGGGCUUCACACGUCAUACAAUGGUCGGUACAGAGGGUUGCCAAGCCGCGAGGUGGAGCCAAUCCCAGAAAGCCGAUCGUAGUCCGGAUUGUUCUCUGCAACUCGAGAGCAUGAAGUCGGAAUCGCUAGUAAUCGCGGAUCAGCAUGUCGCGGUGAAUACGUUCCCGGGUCUU
rnacentral:rRNA from 1 species